rnacentral:rRNA from 1 species
GUGGGGAAUAUUGGACAAUGGGCGCAAGCCUGAUCCAGCCAUGCCGCGUGAGUGAUGAAGGCCCUAGGGUUGUAAAGCUCUUUCAGUGGGGACGAUAAUGACGGUACCCACAGAAGAAGCCCCGGCUAACUUCGUGCCAGCAGCCGCGGUAAUACGAAGGGGGCUAGCGUUGUUCGGAUUUACUGGGCGUAAAGCGCACGUAGGCGGAUCGUUAAGUCGAGGGUGAAAUCCUGGAGCUCAAGUCCAGAACUGCCUUCGGUACUGGGGAUCUUGAGUCCGGAAGAGGUGAGUGGAACUCCUAGUGUAGAGGUGGAAUUCGUAGAUAUUAGGAAGAACACCAGUGGCGAAGGCGGCUCACUGGUCCGGUACUGACGCUGAGGUGCGAAAGCGUGGGGAGCAAACAGGAUUAGAAACCCUGGUAGUCC